GUAAGACAUUGCUUAUAGAGACGUACGUCGAUCUAUCAAACGCCGACCUGCAAGGUAAGUUAACCAAAGUGACAAUUCAAAGUGAGUUUAAUAUUUAAGGCCAGAGCAGCCAAACUGAAAGCAUUGCUGACUUGGAGAAUGUUUCCAAUUUCGCUAUUUUGACCUUAACUUUGAAGGCCGCUUUGAAUUCGCCCUGAAGUGAAUAACCCUG